AACCCGAAUUAAUAGGCCCACGGCGUAAAACGUGUUAAGGAUCACAGAGUACUAAAGUUAAAGUUUAACUAGGCCGUAAAAAGCUACUGUUAAUAUAAAAUAUGCCACGAAAGUGACUUUAUCAUUUCCAACAACACGACAGCUGGGACCCAAACUGGGAUUAGAUACCCCACUAUGCUCAGCCCUAAACAUGGAUAGCUUACAUAACAAAACUAUCUGCCAGAGAACUACUAGCAACAGCUUAAAACUCAAAGGACUUGGCGGUGCUUUACAUCCCUCUAGAGGAGCCUGUUCUGUAAUCGAUAAACCCCGAUAAACCUCACCACUUCUAGCUAAAU
rnacentral:rRNA from 1 species